AUUGCACGCUGGCGGCAGGCCUAACACAUGCAAGUCGAGCGGAGCGGCGGACGGGUGAGUAAUGCCUAGGAAUCUGCCUGGUAGUGGGGGAUCACGUCCGGAAACGGGCGCUAAUACCGCAUACUAUCAGAUGAGCCUAGGUCGGAUUAGCUAGUUGGGGGGGUAAAGGCGUACCAAGGCGACGAUCCGUAACUGGUCUGAGAGGAUGAUCAGUCACACUGGAACGGAGACACGGACCAGACUCCUACGGGAGGCAGCAGUGGGGAAUAUGGGACAAUGGGCGAAAGCCUGAGCCAGCCAUGCGGCGUGAGUGAAGAAGGUUUUCGGAUUGUAAAGCACUUUAAGUUGGGAGGCGUUACCUACAGAGUAAGCACCGGCUAACUACGUGCCAGCAGCCGCGGUAAUUC
rnacentral:rRNA from 1 species